rnacentral:tRNA from 1 species
AAUAAAGUGCCUGAAAUUUUAAGGACUACUUUGAUGUAGUAGGAAUGUAAUUUUGAACUUACCUUUAUUA